rnacentral:rRNA from 1 species
GACGAACGCUGGCGGCGUGCUUAACACAUGCAAGUCGAACGGUGAACCCGGAGCUUGCUCCGGUGGAUUAGUGGCGAACGGGUGAGUAACACGUGAGUAACCUGCCCUUGACUCUGGGAUAACUGCGGGAAACUGUAGCUAAUACCGGAUACGACCCUCGGCGGCAUCGCCAGGGGGUGGAAAGAAUUUCGGUCAAGGAUGGACUCGCGGCCUAUCAGCUAGUUGGUGAGGUAACGGCUCACCAAGGCGACGACGGGUAGCCGGCCUGAGAGGGUGACCGGCCACACUGGGACUGAGACACGGCCCAGACUCCUACGGGAGGCAGCAGCGGGGAAUAUUGCACAAUGGGCGCAAGCCUGAUGCAGCAACGCCGCGUGAGGGAUGACGGCCUUCGGGUUGUAAACCUCUUUAGUAGGGAAGAAGCGAAAGUGACGGUACCUGCAGAAAAAGCACCGGCUAACUACGUGCCAGCCGCCGCCGUAA